GUAACGCCUUGCAUAUAACGUGUGUGUCUAUGUGCACAUGCUCCUGUGAGACGGAUUUCCAGAUCGUAGCCUGUUUUGAGUGGGUUUCAAGCCGUGGGAUCAUGUAUUUUAGGCCCAACCCUUCCAUUGGCUGCCAGUGAUAAUUCUGAAGUUUGCAACCGUGCACGUGAGCAUGCUGGGAACAGACCAGAGGUUGCCAAUAGGCCCGACAGGUUUCGUUCUCAUAGCCCCCCCUGCAAAGUUGUAUGUUUGGUCCUGCUCUCUAUAGCCUAGACCCCACUUUGCUCCUCAAGACUCAUCUAUCAAAAGUGACAACUUGAUGAUUUGUAGACAGUGCAGCUGAGAACUUGUCAAACAUCAUUCAUAUGAUUUGCUCAUUAACUGCUUCAGUGUUGUAAUGUGCCAGGCAUGACAUUUUUAACCUUCCAUGUUUGAUACUACCUCAACUUUGAUGUUGCCCAGAGGCCAAGUUUACCUGAGAAAAAAACACCAGAGAAAGAAAGAAAAAAUAAGGAAGCUGCUACGCAAGGUUGGUUUGUAUUCAGUUGUUGU